rnacentral:rRNA from 1 species
UACGUAGGGUGCGAGCGUUGUCCGGAAUUAUUGGGCGUAAAGGGCUCGUAGGCGGUCUGUCACGUCGGGAGUGAAAACACGGGGCUUAACCCCGUGCCUGCUUCCGAUACGGGCAGACUAGAGGUAUGCAGGGGAGAACGGAAUUCCUGGUGCAGCGGUGAAAUGCGCAGAUAUCAGGAGGAACACCGGUGGCGAAGGCGGUUCUCUGGGCAUUACCUGACGCUGAGGAGCGAAAGUGUGGGGAGCGAACAGG